UGGGGAAUAUUGCACAAUGGGCGAAAGCCUGAUGCAGCAACGCCGCGUGAGGGAUGACGGCCUUCGGGUUGUAAACCUCUUUUAGUAGGGAAGAAGCGAAAGUGACGGUACCUGCAGAAAAAGCACCGGCUAACUACGUGCCAGCAGCCGCGGUAAUACGUAGGGUGCAAGCGUUGUCCGGAAUUAUUGGGCGUAAAGAGCUCGUAGGCGGUUUGUCGCGUCUGCUGUGAAAUCCCGAGGCUCGACCUCGGGUCUGCAGUGGGUACGGGCAGACUAGAGUGUGGUAGGGGAGAUUGGAAUUCCUGGUGUAGCGGUGGAAUGCGCAGAUAUCAGGAGGAACACCGAUGGCGAAGGCAGAUCUCUGGGCCAUUACUGACGCUGAGGAGCGAAAGCAUGGGGAGCGAACA
rnacentral:rRNA from 1 species